rnacentral:rRNA from 1 species
UACAGAGGGUGCUAGCGUUGUUCGGAAUCAUUGGGCGUAAAGGGCGUGUAGGCGGUUUGUUAAGUCAUGUGUGAAAUCCCUCGGCUCAACCGGGGAAGGACGCAUGAAACUGGCAAGCUAGAGUACCAAAGAGGGGGGUGGAAUUCCCGGUGUAGCGGUGAAAUGCGUAGAGAUCGGGAGGAACACCAGUGGCGAAGGCGGCUACCUGGACCAGCACUGACACUGAGGCACGAAAGCGUGGGGAGCAAACAGG